GCGAACGCUGGCGGCAGGCUUAACACAUGCAAGUCGAGCGCCCCGCAAGGGGAGCGGCAGACGGGUGAGUAACACGUGGGGAUCUGCCCAAUGGUACGGAAUAACUCAGGGAAACUUGUGCUAAUACCGUAUGUGCCCGCAAGGGGAAAGAUUUAUCGCCAUUGGAUGAACCCGCGUCGGAUUAGCUAGUUGGUGUGGUAAAGGCGCACCAAGGCGACGAUCCGUAGCUG
rnacentral:rRNA from 1 species